GCGCGCUUAACACAUGCAAGUCGAACGAGAACGGGUUAAAGCUUGCUUUAACUGUCAGCUAAGUGGCGCACGGGUGAGUAAUAUAUAGGUAACGUGCCCUAGAGAGGGGGAUAACAGAUGGAAACGUCUGCUAAGACCCCAUAUGCCUUUAAGACUAAAGUCUGCAAGGGAAACAUUUAUGGCUCUAGGAUCGGCCUGUACGGUAUCAGUUAGUUGGUGAGGUAAUGGCUCACCAAGACAAUGACACCUAACUGGUUUGAGAGGAUGAUCAGUCACACUGGAACUGAGACACGGUCCAGACUCCUACGGGAGGCAGCAGUGGGGAAUAUUGCACAAUGGGGGAAACCCUGAUGCAGCAACGCCGCGUGGAGGAUGACACAUUUCGGUGCGUAAACUCCUUUUAUAUAGGAAGAUAAUGACGGUACUAUAUGAAUAAGCACCGGCU
rnacentral:rRNA from 1 species